UACGAGGGGGGCGAGCGUUGUUCGGAAUUAUUGGGCGUAAAGGGUGUGUAGGCGGUUGUUUAAGUUUGGUGUGAAAUCUCCCGGCUCAACUGGGAGGGUGCGCCGAAUACUGAAUGACUCGAGUGCGGGAGAGGAAAGUGGAAUUCCUGGUGUAGCGGUGAAAUGCGUAGAUAUCAGGAGGAACACCGGUGGUGUAGACGGCUUUCUGGACCGUAACUGACGCUGAGACACGAAAGCGUGGGUAGCAAACAGG
rnacentral:rRNA from 1 species